UACGAGGGGAGCAAGCGUUGUUCGGAUUUACUGGGCGUAAAGGGCGCGUAGGCGGCGUGACUAGUCACUUGUGAAAUCUCCGGGCUUAACUCGGAACGGUCAAGUGAUACUGUCGUGCUAGAGUACAGAAGGGGCAACUGGAAUUCUCGGUGUAGCGGUGAAAUGCGUAGAUAUCGGGAGGAACACCAGUGGCGAAGGCGACUUCCUGGCCUGUUCUUGACGCUGAGGCGCGAAAGCUAGGGGAGCAAACGGG
rnacentral:rRNA from 1 species